rnacentral:rRNA from 1 species
UUGAGCUUGAUCCUGGCUCAGAUUGAACGCUGGCGGCAGGCCUAACACAUGCAAGUCGAGCGGCAGCACGAGAAAGCUUGCUUUCUUGGUGGCGAGCGGCGGACGGGUGAGUAAUACAUGGGAAUCUGCCCGAUAGUGGGGGACAACGUUUCGAAAGGAACGCUAAUACCGCAUACGUCCUACGGGAGAAAGCAGGCUUAGGCUUGCGCUAUCGGAUGAGCCCAUGUCGGAUUAGCUUGUUGGUGAGGUAAUGGCUCACCAAGGCGACGAUCCGUAACUGGUCUGAGAGGAUGAUCAGUCACACCGGAACUGAGACACGGUCCGGACUCCUACGGGAGGCAGCAGUGGGGAAUAUUGGACAAUGGGGGAAACCCUGAUCCAGCCAUGCCGCGUGUGUGAAGAAGGCCUUCGGGUUGUAAAGCACUUUCAGCGAGGAGGAAAGCAGUAAGGUUAAUACCCUUAUUGUGUGACGUACUCGCG